AAAAAAUAAAGUGAAAGGAAAAAGAGAAAAAAUGUACCGACCUUCUAAAGACCAUAAAGUUGUGGUGUAGAAAAGCUUGUACUUACAGCCAAAAUAAUUAAAAAAUUAUUAAUUGGAAUGUGAGAGAAAAUAGAAAAACUAUAUUGUGAUUGUUUCAAUUUUGGGGCAGUAACUUUUUAGUGGCUUUAUAAAUCUCCUAUAGCUCAACCAAUCAUGCUAUGUAUAUCAAUAGGUUACUUUAGAGACGUAUCUUUUAGAGAGGAUCAAGCUCUAAUCCAAAUCAGAUAUUAAUUUCAGUUUUCUUAUUUUCUGGUUAAUGAGAUCUAAAAAUUUUGCUUCGACGAUUAUUAAGGAUGAUUUAGUUUUAUGGGCUUGAGCUUCAAUUUCUAUAAUUCUAUUUUUUAUAUUUAUAU
rnacentral:sRNA from 1 species